rnacentral:lncRNA from 1 species
UUGCGCUGAAUGCACAUUAUGCAAAUAACGUGUUUAGAAGAUUUCCACUCAGACUCCAGCCCUAUUGUUACAUUCAUGCCUCGCUGAUCACCAUGGUACAGCGACCUAGCGUGCACGGGCUUUAUCUUAAGCUGUUGUUUCGGUGCUGGGCUAGGCCUUCAUUACUGUCGUUGUGCUCCUCACGCUCACUGCAUGCAUGCAACUCAUUACACUGUUCACAAUUAUCAUUUUGGCUGUGUAUCAAAUUGUUUAUUCUAAUUGAACGUGCACAUUGUGACCAAUUUAUAUUAUAUUAACAAAGACAUCGUUACCAUUUACUCCAAGAUCAACACCAAGAGGGGCAAUGUCUUCAAGGGUAGAAAGAGGCCCAGUGUUUUUGUAACCCUGUUCACUUAGGAAAGAGUUGCAGCUUUCAUCAAAGAAA